CAAGAGUGACCGGCCAGUGUGUGUAGGCGGGAAGAGGCGUCCGCUUCUGCGAUACGCGGGAGCCGGGGCUGUGGAGGCUUCUGGUUCUAGACUGGUGCCUCAGAGCAGGCUCCCUCUGUCUCCAUAGCAGACCGCUGUCCUCGUGAUGCCCGCACCUCCUUCCUGUUCCAGGCAGCAAAUUGGCCAGUGGGCCUGUGACCCCCAAACUUCUCAUCUAUGCGGGAGUCGUGACAUCUGAGCAUAUAUGACCCUGAAAGAUCAGCUGGGUGUUAUUCCAUCAGCGGCACCUCAGAUCAUCAGGCACUGGGUCCCGGAGAUUGGGGAACGCCAGCUGUAAGGUACAGUCUCUUCGCAGAUUCCAGGGUCAGGAUGGGGGAAGCUUUGGGAAGUGGAGGCGACUGGGAAUCUUUCUGCGCCCCACAUGGGGUCACCCCUGGUGUUUGUAAG
rnacentral:lncRNA from 1 species